rnacentral:tRNA from 1 species
GGCAGCAUGGUAUAGUGGUUUGAGUGUUAGACUUUGACUCUGGAGACCAGGGUUCGGAUCCUGGCUCAGCCA